rnacentral:rRNA from 1 species
AGAUUGAACGCUGGCGGCAGGCCUAACACAUGCAAGUCGAGCGGCAGCACGGGUACUUGUACCUGGUGGCGAGCGGCGGACGGGUGAGUAAUGCCUAGGAAUCUGCCUGAUAGUGGGGGAUAACGUUCGGAAACGGACGCUAAUACCGCAUACGUCCUACGGGAGAAAGUGGGGGAUCUUCGGACCUCACGCUAUCAGAUGAGCCUAGGUCGGAUUAGCUAGUUGGUAGGUAAAGGCCUACCAAGGCUACGAUCCGUAACUGGUCUGAGAGGAUGAUCAGUCACACUGGAACUGAGACACGGUCCAGACUCCUACGGGAGCAGCAGUGGGAAUAUUGGACAAGUGGGCAAAGCCUGAUCCAGCCAUGCCGCGUGUGUAGAAGAAGGUC